AAUCAUACUUUUAAGCUUUUUGAGGAACCAGUUCUUCGAUCGAAUUUUUUAGAGUUGAUUUCAAUUUCGUCAUAAAGUCUGUGUUUGGAACAAGUUUCGAAAAUAAUUUCUUAUUUAGUAAAAUCAGGGGCAAAGUGAUUUCUUUUUCAAAAGAAAUAAGAGAGUGGUCGUUGGUGCUGGGGUCUAGCUGCGACGAUUUGUGACAAUGAAUCGAAGGAUGUAAUUAAAAGUUUUCAAAUCAUUAAAUUUCUAAAAGUAGUUUCUUCUACUUGUUUUUGUUACAAGUUAUUUAAGAAGAAACAAUUUUUAAAUUAUAACCCAAACUUCAAAAUCAAUUUUCAUAAAUCAUGCAAAAUAUUGGGAUAAGCUCACGUCUUCAGGUGCACCGACAAACAAAGCAUGCAGGGAGCAGAUUUCUUCUUAGCUAAAAACUACACGCAUCAAGAACUGCUGCCGGCGAUUUUUAACUGGCAACUCGCCAGCGUAAAAAGUGGAAUAAGCUGUCUUGUUAUAAAUGCUGGAGCGCUAUCUUCAAAUUGAACAACCAGUUCGUAUACAAUAAUUUCCUGGAGUGACAA